CGCGUAGGCGGUGCGUACAGUCAGACGUGAAAUUCCCGGGCUCAACCUGGGGGCUGCGUUUGAUACGUGCGUGCUUGAGUCCGGAAGAGGGUGGUGGAAUUCCCAGUGUAGAGGUGAAAUUCGUAGAUAUUGGGAAGAACACCGGUGGCGAAGGCGGCCACCUGGUCCGGUACUGACGCUGAGGCGCGAAAGCGUGGGGAGCAAACAGGAUUAGAUACCCUGGUAGUCCACGCUGUAAACGAUGUGUGCUGGAUGUUGGGCAGUCUGACUGUUCAGUGUCGUAGCUAACGCGAUAAGCACACCGCCUGGGGAGUACGGCCGCAAGGUUGAA
rnacentral:rRNA from 1 species